rnacentral:rRNA from 1 species
AUGGGCAAGUUCCGCAAGCUCGGGCGCCACGCUGCGCACCGCGUGUCCAUGCUCAGGACGAUGGUGUCGCAGCUGGUGAAGCACGAGCGCAUCGAGACCACCGUCGCCAAGGCGAAGGAGGUGCGGCGCAAGGCGGAUCAGAUGGUGCAGCUCGGCAAAGAUGGUACACUGGAUGCAGCAAGACGUGCUUCUGCUUUUGUUCGCGGAGAUGAUGUUGUCCAUAAGCUAUUCACAGAGCUGGCCUACCGCUAUAAAGAUCGAGCAGGUGGAUAUACAAGACUUUUGCGAACUAGGAUACGAAUAGGCGAUGCAGCACCAAUGGCAUACAUUGAGUUUGUGGACAGAGAGAACGAGCUCCGGGAGGCCAAACCUGCAACGCCGCCGCCGCCUCAGCGGGUUCCACUUGAUCCAUGGGCCAAGUCUCGUGCCAGCCAACAAUGGGCGGGACCGAAAGUUACCAUGAACCCCAAGUCAGAAGGCUUAUGA